CAUUGGAUACUGCAAUGGGCUGAAACAUCCACAGUGAACUAAUUCAUUAUCUGCUUUGUCUGUUGUGAUGUUUGUUACACUCUACAUCCUGCACCCUGCACAGCUGCAGCAGUGAUGCCUUGUGUUGAGUAUCAGCUCGAGCUGCCAAGGCAAUGAAUGAUGUAAACAUGGGGGUAAUUCUACGUGGUGAGGGCUCCCACUUCCAGCUUGAUGUGGGCCUUCCAUAUUAUCAAAUGGUUUUGUUUCGGCCGAAGUCAAUGCUGGAGCUACCAUACCUAAGGAUCAUCACACUGCCCUGAACUGGAGCACCUGGAGGAAAUCUACGCAAACAUACGGGAACAUGCAAACUCCACACAGUCGCCCAAGGAUGGAAUCAAACCUGUGAUCCUGGCACUGUAAGGGAGCAGUGCUGACCAUGGAACGACCGCACCACACCUAGAUGUCCUAGAGUUAUGAUGACUGACCUCUAGCAACUAAAACUAACUUCCAUCAAGAAGAUGUAUACUAGAAUGAGGUUUAAAAGAUCUAAUCUGUCUUGCAACUGAGUAAAUAUGCCAUAGAAGCGGCAUACCUGAUAUAAGAACACAAGAUGCUGUUUUCACUCAGGGCGGCAACUCCUCCAGCCUCUGCUACCAGCUCCAUCAUUACCGCCAGUUGUGACUUCACAGUUAACAGACAAAAGACAAUCUUCAUACAGAUUGCAAGGUUUACCAUUUGGCAGAGAAAAACCACAAUGUCAAGCAUUGAAAAGACAGAAUAUCUCAAUAAAUAAAAUUGGCAUCAGUAAUUUACAAUGCAUUAUGUAUGACUUUCAUGAAGUCAUCCCUACAGUGAGUAUUGGUCAUUUAAUAAAUAAGAAUAAAAAAAUUAAGACUGAGAAGCGUAUUGUGAAUAAUGAAUCUGUUCUCGAGAUUAUUAUAAUACAGUCCUUCUCAUGAAGAUACAUCCAUUUUGAGUCAUGAUUGUCAUUUGGUUGAACUGAGGUGUAUUCUUGCGGUGGAUGCAGACACAAAAUCAAUCCUGUCCCAUUCAGCGUUGUUUGGUUGCAGGUCGAGAUUUGUUCAUCACUUUUGCAUAUCAAUGAUAACUGGAGAGAAAAGAAUUAUAUAAUAAAAUGUAAGUUGGACAUGAAACAAGAAUAUGUUGGAGUAAAAAGGU